rnacentral:rRNA from 1 species
AUUGAACGCUGGCGGCAGGCCUAACACAUGCAAGUCGAGCGGCAGCGGGAAGUAGCUUGCUACUUUGCCGGCGAGCGGCGGACGGGUGAGUAAUGUCUGGGAAACUGCCCGAUGGAGGGGGAUAACUACUGGAAACGGUAGCUAAUACCGCAUAACGUCGCAAGACCAAAGAGGGGGACCUUCGGGCCUCUUGCCAUCGGAUGUGCCCAGAUGGGAUUAGCUAGUAGGUGGGGUAACGGCUCACCUAGGCGACGAUCCCUAGCUGGUCUGAAAGGAUGACCAGCCACACUGGAACUGAGACACGGUCCAGACUCCUACGGGAGGCAGCAGUGGGGAAUAUUGCACAAUGGGCGCAAGCCUGAUGCAGCCAUGCCGCGUGUAUGAAGAAGGCCUUCGGGUUGUAAAGUACUUUCAGCGGGGAGGAAGGUGUUGAGGUUAAUAACCUCAGCAAUUGACGUUACCCGCAGAAGAAGCACCGGCUAACUCCGUGCCAGCCGCCGCGGUAAAAC